rnacentral:rRNA from 1 species
UACGUAGGUGGCUAGCGUUGUCCGGAAUCAUUGGGCGUAAAGGGUUCGCAGGCGGAAAUGCAAGUCAGAUUUAAAAGGCAGUAGCUCAACUACUGUAAGCAUUGGAAACUGCAUAUCUUGAGAAGAGUAGAGGUAAGUGGAAUUUUUAGUGUAGCGGUGAAAUGCGUAGAUAUUAAAAAGAAUACCGGUGGCGAAGGCGACUUACUGGGCUGAUUCUGACGCUGAGGCACGAAAGCGUGGGGAGCAAACGGG